GGGGGGCGGAGCCAAGCUGCAGAACAGAGAAGUCGCAUAGCAUUGUAGCUCCUGCAAUUUUAUGCCAAAACACCCUAACCAAACGACCAAAAUCGUCCAAAACAGCCUCAAAUCCCAGGCAAUAACAGGGGAAACGACAUGGGACGGAAAAGCAAAAAACAAAAGCCCGAUCAGCCCAGACUUGGCCCCGAUAUCGGAGCCAUGUGGCGACAGGCCCACGGAGCGGUUGGGCCCAAGAUGGCCGAAUACCCAGAGACAUACUCCGACCUGUCUGAUGACUUCUCCCAAGGUGAGGACACACUUCACUCUCCCAGUCCACCAGCAGCAAAAGCCACACCACCAGACCCAGAUAACGCACCAGUCACCACAGCGGUGCUCAAGGCAUUACUGGCAGGCCUACAGACCACGAUCCAGGCAGAAAUGGCGGGCCUCUGCACAGACCUCCAGGGAAUAACCGGGAGACUAGGCACCCUGGAGGAUUCCUCCGCCACCACAGCUACCCAUAUCGCCACCAUGCAAUCGGAGAUAAGGGGUCUGCAGAGUAAAGCAGAGGUCUAUGAACGGCAGUUCGCAGCACUGGAAGACAC